rnacentral:rRNA from 1 species
UCGGGAAUUUUGGGCAAUGGGCGAAAGCCUGACCCAGCAACGCCGCGUGAGGGAUGAAGUAUUUCGGUAUGUAAACCUCGAAAGAAUGGGAAGAAUAAAUGACGGUACCAUUUAUAAGCUCCGGCUAACUACGUGCCAGCAGCCGCGGUAAUACGUAGGGAGCAAGCGUUGUUCGGAUUUACUGGGCGUAAAGGGCGCGUAGGCGGCGCGGUAAGUCACUUGUGGAAUCUCUGAGCUUAACUCAGAACGGCCAAGUGAUACUGCUGUGCUAGAGUGCGGAAGAGGCAACCGGAAUUCUUGGUGUAGCGGUGAAAUGCGUAGAUAUCAAGAGGAACACCUGAGGCGAAGGCGGGUUGCUGGGCCGACACUGACGCUGAUGCGCGAAAGCCAGGGGAGCAAACG